CAAACAUACAAAGCAGCACACACACAAGCACAUUUAGUUCGCCCGCAUAUAAAGCUCACACACAUACACCAACAAAGAACAGCUGAUGACGUUUGUUAUUUUGUGCGCGUCUCUUAUUUUUUAAGGCGCCCCUCAGUACGUGUGAGUGUAUGUGAGCUCCCCAUAUCCGCAACGCAUCGGUAUUCACACAUACACACCUGAUAGCCUCUCUCCAAAAACAAUAACAAAGUAACCGUUUGACGAGUGGAACGGAGAGUGCAGCCGUCUCUGUUGCACCUGCUGCACUCGCUCAGCUGUUAUGGCUUUGUUCUUGUUAGGGAGAGAAUCGCAAAGAGUGCAGUUCAAUUCAUGGAACGCGAUUUGAAAACCUUAGUUUUUGGAUCCCAAGACACACAUUGUUAUAAAUAAUAAAAUUUUUGGAUUUAGAUUUUGAAUCUAAAUAAAAAAAUGGAAAACAUUUUUGAAAGCAUUCAAAACAGAAAAGGUAUGUAUUAAAGUAACUAUUUUUUAAUUUUCUAAGAACAUUAAUACCCUGAGAUGAUGUACAAGAUGAAAAUAGUUGAAAAUUCAAUAUAAGGAGUUUGAAAUCGUAAAUUAUAAUAGUUCAUGUUUUUAGCCUGCUUCAGUUCAACCCUCUCCGUCUUUUUUUGCAACAAGUUGAUCCACAAAUUGCACUAUUAGUGAAUGUGUGCGUAUUCUACAUACAUUAUGUACACAUAUACAUACAUGUGUAUGGAAAUACACCCCUUCCUCGCCCACACGAAACCUAUUGCCGUGCUUUUUUAUUGCAUAACCGCAUUUAACAGUUUUGCUCGAACGGUUGCCGAUUCGGUUUGUUUGCAAUUUGCAUUUUUGCCCAAGCCAGGGGCAACAACAAUGUUAUUGUUUUUCAAGGUCACAUACACAUACAGAGCGAACGGCAAAACAACAACCCACCCACCGCCACCCCCUAAAAUUCACCACCCCCCCCACCCGCUGGUUCAGGUUUGGAGGUUCACUUCAGUUCACUCUUCUCUAAUUUUUCGGCUGUGAGAGCGACACAAGCGACGCACCAAACAGGCUAUUUCACACACACAGUCCGCCAAAUACCAUCCGCCCUCGGUACAGUGAACCAUCGGUUGACCUACUGGGUAUUUGCUUAUAAGUUGUACCUUUCGUCUUGUUGCCCAAAAUAAAUAACGUUUCAAAAAUAAAAAA